GGUUGUUGAGAGGAGAGGAGGAGAAGGUGGUUGUUGAGAGGAGGAGGAGGUGGUUGUUGAGAGGAGGUGGUUGAGAGGAGGAGGAGGAGGAGGUGGUUGUUGAGAGGAGGAGGAGGUGGUGGUUGUUGAGAGGAGGAGGAGGAGGUGGUUGUUGUUGAGAGGAGGAGGAGGAGGAGAAGGUGGUUGUUGAGAGGAGAGGAGGAGAAGGUGGUUGUUGAGAGGAGGAGGAAGUGGUUGUUGAAAGGAGGAGGAGGAAGUGGUUGUUGAGAGGAGGAGGAGGAGGAGGUGGUUGUUGAGAGGAG
rnacentral:lncRNA from 1 species